rnacentral:hammerhead_ribozyme from 1 species
AUCCAGCUGACGAGUCCCAAAAAGGACGAAACGCGCAUUCUGGAU